rnacentral:rRNA from 1 species
UACAGAGGGUGCGAGCGUUAAUCGGAAUUACUGGGCGUAAAGCGUGCGUAGACGGCUAUCUAAGUCGGGGUGUGAAAGCCCCGGGCUCAACCUGGGAAUUGCGAUGAAGACUGCAAGGCUUGAAUUUGGCAGAGGGGGGUAGAAUUCCACGUGUAGCAGUGAAAUGCGUAGAGAUGUGGAGGAACACCGAUGGCGAAGGCAGCCCCCUGGGUCAAGAUUGACGCUCAUGCACGAAAGCGUGGGGAGCAAACAGG